UACAGAGGGUGCGAGCGUUACUCGGAAUUACUGGGCGUAAAGCGUGCGCAGGCGGUUCUCCAAGUCCGUUGUGAAAGCCCCGGGCUCAACCUGGGAAUGGCAGUGGAAACUAGGGGACUGGAAUCUGGCAGAGGGGGGUGGAAUGCCGCGUGUAGCAGUGAAAUGCGUAGAGAUGCGGCGGAACACCGAUGGCGAAGGCAGCCCCCUGGGCUGAGAUUGACGCUCAGGCACGAAAGCGUGGGGAGCAAACAGG
rnacentral:rRNA from 1 species